rnacentral:rRNA from 1 species
CCUUCGGGCAAGCGGCGGCACGGGUUAGUAACGCGUGGGAACGUACCCUUCUCUAAGGAAUAGCCCCGGGAAACUGAGAGUAAUACCUUAUACGCCCUUCGGGGGAAAGAUUUAUCGGGGAAGGAUCGGCCCGCGUCUGAUUAGAUAGUUGGUGGGGUAAUGGCCUACCAAGUCUACGAUCAGUAGCUGGUUUGAGAGGAUGAUCAGCAACACUGGGACUGAGACACGGCCCAGACUCCUACGGGAGGCAGCAGUGGGGAAUCUUAGACAAUGGGCGCAAGCCUGAUCUAGCGAUGCCGCGUGAGUGAUGAAGGUCUUAGGAUCGUAAAGCUCUUUCGCCAGGGAUGAUAAUGACAGUACCUGGUAAAGAAACCCCGGCUAACUCCGUGCCAGCAGCCGC